UGCAUUUUUAUCACGGGCUACGUUGCUGUAAAGACUUGACUUUAUCUGUGAACGUCGCUGACCCACCUUUCCCGCGACUUGGGUCCCCGCGUUCUGGUCACUACAAGCCUCUGUCACGGUUUGGGACGAAUGGCGUAGGUUCCUCCUUCAAGUACCUCCUCUCCCAAUCCCGUAAAAAUCCCUGAAUUUUACUACAGAUUUGCCCUUUCAGAUUAACUUUGAAAUCUUAGAUUCAGAAGAUCACGUUUUUUUGUCAAAUAGUGUCUUUUUUCCUAAUCAUCACGACACGACCGAACUGUCUUCUAAUUGCUGAAAACAAACGUGAGCUCCAUGUUUCCAGGGAAAAAGCCCGUGUUCUUCUUAGACUCACUGCCACACUCUGGUGUACAACUGCACUGCAGACCUCCACACAGAAGCCUAGAAGCCUCCAGGCUCUCUCUGUGCAGCGGGAUGGUGAGUGUCACUGCAAAGGCUCUGUCUGCACUCUGCACACCUCAGUGGAAAUUUGGGACCAGACCUGAAGGCACUCUGGCCCUCUCAAAACUUCUCUCUAAUUGUGAGCUCCAAGCCUGUGGACGCAAGUCACCCACGGCUUCACGAAGGAGCUGCAUCCCAGGCUUCACGAAGGAGCUGCGUCGCAGCCCGAGUCCUUCCCCCCAGAAGGUCCCGUCGUCCCGUACCACCCGUGAUCCCCUGCCCAGCUGGCUCUCACCCCGCGGA